rnacentral:rRNA from 1 species
CCGGCUGGCAUCGUUUAUUUUUAAAGACCUUUUUCGGAAGGUAUGCUUAAAGAGGGGCUUGCGUCACAUUAGUUAGUUGGCAGGGUAAAGGCCUACCAAGACUAUGAUGUGUAGCUGGACUGAGAGGUUGAACAGCCACAUUGGGACUGAGACACGGCCCAAACUCCUACGGGAGGCAGCAGUAGGGAAUUUUCGGCAAUGGAGGAAACUCUGACCGAGCAACGCCGCGUGAACGAUGAAGUAUUUCGGUAUGUAAAGUUCUUUUAUUGAAAAAAAAAAAAUAGUGGAAAAACUAUCUUGACAAUAUUCAAUGAAUAAGCCCCGGCAAACUAUGUGCCAGCAGCCGCGGUAAUACAUAGGGGGCGAGCGUUAUCCGGAAUUAUUGGGCGUAAAGGGUGCGUAGGCGGUUUAAUAAGUCUAUAGUUUAAUUUCAGUGCUUAACACUGUCCUGCUAUAGAAACUAUUAAACUAAAGUGAGAUAGAGGCAAGUGGAAUUCCAUGUGUAGCGGUAAAAUGCGUAAAUAUAUGGAGGAACACCAAAGGCGUAGGCGGCUUGCUGGGUCUUUACUGACGCUGAGGCACGAAAGCGUGGGGAGCAAACAGGAUUAGAUACCCUGGUAGUCCACGCCGUAAACGAUGAGUACUAAGUGUCGGGAUUACUCGGUACUGAAGUUAACACAUUAAGUACUCCGCCUGAGUAGUACGUACGCAAGUAUGAAACUUAAAGGAAUUGACGGGACUCCGCACAAGCGGUGGAUCAUGUUGUUUAAUUCAAAAAUACACGAAAAACCUUACCAGGUCUUGACAUACUCUGCAAAGCUAUAGCAAUAUAGUGGAGGUUAUCAGAGAUACAGGUGGUGCAUGGUUGUCGUCAGCUCGUGUCGUGAGAUGUUAGGUUAAGUCCUAAAACGAGCGCAACCCUUGUCAUUAGUUGCCAGCAUGUCAUGAUGGGCACUUUAAUGAGACUGCCAAUGAAAAAUUGGAGGAAGGUGAGGAUCACGUCAAAUCAUCAUGCCCCUUAUGAUCUGGGCUACAAACGUGAUACAAUGGCUGUUACAAAGAGUAGCUGAAACGCAAGUUUAUAGCCAAUCUCAUAAAAGCAGUCUCAGUUCGGAUUGAAGUCUGCAACUCGACUUCAUGAAGUUGGAAUCGCUAGUAAUCGCGAAUCAGCAUCGCGAACACAGUACAAG